GAUGAAGAACGUAGCGAAAUGCGAUAAGUAAUGUGAAUUGCAGAAUUCAAUGAAUCAUCGAAUCUUUGAACGCAUCUUGCGCUCCUUGGUAUUCUGAGGAGCAUGCCUGUUUGAGUGUCAUUAAAUUCUCAACUACACUGACUUUGAAUUGGUGUGGCUUGGAUUUGGGGGGAAAAUUGUUGUGGGCUUUUUGUAUAGUCUGCUCCCCUGAAAUUGAUUAGCGGUACCUUUGUGGAACUGUCUACAGGUGUGAUAAUUAUCUACAUCUUAGACAUCUGCUGGAAUGCUGCUUUCUAAACCUUACUUGUAUUGACAAUCUUGACCUCAAAUCAGGUAGGACUACCCGCUGAACUUAAGCAUAUCAAUAAGCGGAGGA
rnacentral:misc_RNA from 1 species